GAUAAUUAUAAAUGACCGCCAUUUAAAAACCCUGCGGAAACUUAUUUCGAUAAAAAGCAUGAAGAUUUUAACCUAUGGAAGACAUCAAUGAUUAUUUAGAAUAUUUUGACCAUCAUGAGUCAUUGAUUUUGUACAAUAUAUACUCUUAUAACCAAAAGCCUAAUGAGUAUAAGCAUUACCCAACUUUGAAGGAAAUUUUUCUGCAUGUUUUUCUAACCAAGUAAUUGUGCACUAAACAAGUGGAUUGACAAAGAAUAGCAACAAAUUUAUUGUCCCAAAAAAAAACUAUAAUCAUGCACUGAAAAACAACCUUUCGUCAACAAAAGAAUGGCACAAAUUUCCAUUGAUAAAGUGUAAGAUAACAGAUAGUCAGUAUCUAACUUGUUUUGUGUUUUUUUUUAAAGGUAACUUAAUUACUUUGUUGUAGCAAAAUGUUUUAUAAUUAGAUUUAUUUCAUGUUGUGAAGAAUACAACUUUCUACAUCAGAUGAGAUAUAUGUUAAAGAAAGCAUUAAAAAUAAGAAUAGCAAAUCAUACCGCUCUUCAUUGCCAGAACCUCCGCCACCUAUUAUGAAUAAGCCCAAUGAUAAAAAGUUGUUAUCAGAUUCAAAGAUUGAAGAAGAUAAUUUUUCUUCACAUUUUAUUGAUGAACAGAAUAAAACCAACCAAAGUUCACAUUGUCAAAGGGCUUCAAGUUUUAAUAUGAGUAUUUUUGGUUUUUACACCACUGAAUGUUAAUGUGGAGAGAUGCAAAAUGUUAUUCUCAAUGAGCUUGCAGAAAUAAAAGUUCUUUCAAAAGAAGUUAUAGAAAUUAAGUUUCAGGCUACUGGGGUGAAGUUGCUAGAAUCAGUGGAUGAAGUGGUUACACUGGAUAAUAAACUAAAAGAUAAAACCGAGUAUACUAAUUUGCUUGAUAGUUUGAAAAAGAUUGGUGGUGGAAAGUCAAGAGAACAUGUUUUUUUGAUCAUGAAAAGGUUAUUUUCGAAUCAGUUACAGUCCAAAUAUAAUCGAAAAGGAAAUGGAGAAAAGAUAAGCUUAGAAAAUCUAGUAAAUAUAUAAAGUGUUUUACGAGAUAUCGGAGACGUGGAAGAAAAUGUUGACGGCAAUGAAGUAGUAUAGUUCCUUAUGUAUAUUUUUGUGAAAUAAAAAUUAAGUAAUCUUAGUUAAAA